UACGUAGGGUGCGAGCGUUGUCCGGAAUUAUUGGGCGUAAAGGGCUCGUAGGCGGUUUGUCGCGUCGGGAGUGAAAACCUCGGGCUUAACUCGGGGCUUGCUUUCGAUACGGGCAGACUAGAGGUAUGCAGGGGAGAACGGAAUUCCUGGUGUAGCGGUGAAAUGCGCAGAUAUCAGGAGGAACACCGGUGGCGAAGGCGGUUCUCUGGGCAUGAUCUGACGCUGAGGAGCGAAAGUGUGGGGAGCGAACCGG
rnacentral:rRNA from 1 species